CCUACGGGCGGCUGCAGUCGAGAAUCAUUCACAAUGGGGGAAACCCUGAUGGUGCGACGCCGCGUGGGGGAAUGAAGGUCUUCGGAUUGUAAACCCCUGUCAUGUGGGAGCAAAUUAAAAAGAUAGUACCACAAGAGGAAGAGACGGUUAAUUCUGUGCCAGUAGCCGCGGUAAUACAGAGGUCUUAAGCGUUGUUCGGAAUCACUGGGCGUAAAGCGUGCGUAGGCGGUGUCGUAAGUCGUGUGUGAAAGGCGCGGGCUCAACCCGCGAACGGCACAUGAUACUGGGAGACUAGAGUAAAGGAGAGGGAGCCGGAAUUCUCGGUGUAGCAGUGAAAUGCGUAGAUAUCGAGAGGAACACUCGUGGCGAAGGCGGGUUCCUGAACAUUAACUGACGCUGAGGCACGAAGGCCAGGGGAGCGAAAGGGAUUAGAUACCCGAGUAGUC
rnacentral:rRNA from 1 species